AGGCCCCUUCCCCGCUCUGUCACUCUGCUAAGCUCUUCGGGCGGCCUCGGCCUGCAGGGAAGCUCGUGAGCGGUGGGACGUGCAGGCCCUUCCAGAGAAGAACGUGGAAUGUGCUUGGGUCUACGCAGAGACAGCCAUCCGCUGUGCGUGGCUUCCGUGUACAUGCCGGGGCCUCCGAGGUCCAGACAGCUGUGGCCGUAAACGGAUUCCUGGAGCAGACUUUCUGCUUUCAAUUGUCAAACGACGUCCACGAAUUUAUUUGAAAAGUUUCUUUGGCGAAAACUUCCAAUUUCCAAAUCCUGGCCGUGUAGAAAAAAAAAUCCCAUUGCAAUUGGUAUCAUUUGU